rnacentral:lncRNA from 1 species
AUUGUCAAAAAUAAAAUGUUCGAAAGUCAUCUACGGGAUUUCAUAAAUGAUAGAUAUUGUGUCAAGGAUUUCAGAAAUAAAAAGAACACUAAAAUCAGAGUUAUAACGAGGAAGUUAUUAUUUUUCAAAGUUUCGGAUAUAGAAGUAGACAGCUAAAAACUCGAAAUGGAGAUCGAGAGACUUUUGGCCGAAACAACCUAAGAGAGAAUCGAAGAUCUCAACAAUAGUAGUGCAAUGAUAAAAAGUCUGACAAAAACGGAUGUCAAAUGAAAAAGUUAUGGAUUUUUAACGAACUUUUUCGUGUCUUAACCUAUUAAAAAUAUAUAAUUAAAAAUAAAGUCAAAAUUAUCCAACGAUUUCUAAACGAGAUUUGUAGAGUAUAUUUUCACCUACGUGCGCGUACAAAGAACGUCAAAAUCGGAGUUCGUAUGCGAAAGUUAUGGAUUUUACAAGUUCAAAGUGCACAAACUGAGACAAAUUACGCCCAGCGUACUCGGGUGCUAGGCCUCGGAUCGUCCAAGUUUCCCCUCUACACCCCUACGCCCCGUCCCAUAUGAAGUCUGGCAGACGAGGAUGUGGUCAUGAAUGACUUCCGGUACGCCCCGCGUAACCCGGAGGUACGCCCCGCGUACCAAGGGUUUCCAAGUCAUAUAAAAGGGAUGCGAGGGGUCCGGGCAUAAGUGCUCAUUUCCUCUCAUUCUCUUGCGUUUUUACUCCGUUUUGCAUGCAAGAAAUAUCUCGAAGCCCCGGUUUUCAUACCCAAGUCCCGAAGGAAGUUUUACACUCCUAAGAUUCCCGAGAAUCCCGAGAAAUCCGCUUUCUCCUGUCAAAGUUCUGCUCGGUUUUCAUCUCACCAUCUUCACUCUAUCAGGUGAGUUCAUACCCCUGCAAACACACUUUAAAUAUGUUUUAAAUGCUUUUUAAAAACUUUUAGGUGGGGGUGGGGAAUACAAGUAAACACCCAGUUAUUAUCGUGUAACUAGAAGGCACCCGGAAAGCAAAAUUUAUGGGUUUUUUUUGUAUAAUAGAUAAUAACAUAAUCUAAAGUAUCAUUAGGUUUAUCUAUACAUGAUAAUAAAAAUGUAUUUUUGGUGUACGGAAGAAAAAAUGUAAAGAAUAAAAUUUUAGAAUUUUUUAUAAUUAUAUAUGAAUAAAAUUGAAUAUGUAAUAAAAACUAGCCAAUGGAUUUAUAAAACAAUCUAAAAACGAAAAAUCUUAGAAUAACGAAAUAAAAUGCAUAAAAACAUUUAUAAGAAUUAUUUCGUAAAAAAGUUUGUAAAAAAGAUAUAAUAAAUUAUUAAAAUAUCAAAUCAAAUAAAAACAAAGUUGUCAUAAAAAAAAACAUAUGAAUAAAAAGUUAUGAAAACAAUUCAUCAAAAACGAAGGUUGUGAAUAUAUNNNNNNNNNNNNNNNNNNNNNNNNNNNNNNNNNNNNNNNNNNNNNNNNNNNNNNNNNNNNNNNGAAUUAUUUUUAAAAGUUUUUCAUUUUUACAUAUGUAUAUAUAUAUAUAUAUAUAUAUAUAUAUGAUCAAAUGAGAACACCUAAAAGGUUAGAACGCGGAAACAGCUUUGGACCAAUCAAUAUAUAAGGGUAUAAAUUAAAUUUUACAUUAUAAUUAAAUAUGAAAAAAUCAAGGUUAAUUAAUUGAUUCCUAAAUUUUAAGGUAAUGAAUUCGGUUACCUAAAGCAUCAUGUUAAUUGAUUUUUUUACCACAAAACCAGGAAUGAAUCUAUUUAUUUUAUUAUUUUAUUAGAAAUUAAGAAAACAUUAAUCUUGCGAUAUCGUUUUUUAUUUUUUUAUGAUACAUGAAUAUACCAGUAAUUUGAAAAUUAAUAAUUUAAUAAUUGUUCGUAUAUAUUUAUUUCAACCAUUAUUAUAAUCAAAUAUUCACAAAAUGUUAAUUUUAAAUGAAUUAAACAUAACUUACAAAUAAAAGAACUAAUAAAAUUCUAAUCACAAAUAAAUAAAAAACUUAUUUCACUUUUUUUUUUCAAAAAAUGAAUAUAAAUCCAAUUCCAAAUCAAUACACUUGUAUUCACAAAUGAAAAUUUUCUUCAAAAAACCUAGUACUACUCCAAUUUCAAAUGAAUACACACAAUUUUACAAAUAAUCCAAUGCCUUUUUUCAUAAAAAAAUAAAAAUAGUAUAAAAAUUAUCAUUUCUUUUUAAAAUGAAUACCUCUAAUCAUAAAUAAAUAUACUAUUCACACAUGAAUACACUGAUAUUCAUAAAUAAAUAAUCAUUCACACAUGAAUACACUGAUAUUCACAAAUGAAUACAUUGUUAUUCAUAAACAAAUACAAAAUAAAAAUAGUGUAAAAAUUAUCCUUUCUUCAUAAAAUGAAUACCCCCAAUCAUAAAUAAAUACACUCAUCGAUCACACAUGAAUACACUGCUAUUCAUAAAUAAAUACAGUCAUUCACAUACAAAUACACUGAUAUUCACAAAUAAAUAUAAGAAAAUAGUUGUUACCCUCUUGUUUCAGCCCUCACUUCAUCCCUUUUCUCAUUCCUUUUUAUCAAGUAUUACCACACCAAAAGCACUAUUUUAAUGCUUAAUUUGUUGCUGAAAUCAAAGACCAAGAACAACUACAAAAACAUUACCUUUCUGGUCAUUGUUAGUUGUUGAAUUUCGAGUAAACCAAGACCCAAGAAACCUCAUAUUAAGGUUUAAUUCCUCCACAUGAAUUAAUAUUCAUGAAAACCUCGACUUCCAGCACAAAUAGCGAUCCCUAACCACCCCUGGUACAUCGAUGAUUGAUGUAGUCCCACUUCUUGAAUCGAGUUUAAUCUUCCAGACUCGUCUAUAAUUAUCCCUAUGAAAUCGAUUUUUCCUAUUUUUCCUUUGGAACUGAUAACGCAGCACGGACAGGGAGAACUCCCAUCGAUUUCCCGUAGAUUCCUUCACUUCUUGAAUGGAUUUCACUUGUAUGUAAAUAAACAGUAUGAACACAAACCAUUUCCGACAACCAGGUCCGCCAGCGGCUCCUUGUGCUGCCCUAAUACCACUGUAUCGCCACCCCUGCUACAUUCUCCUCUUCUCGAUCUCUCUUUCAAUCACACCCAUUCUUUCCCGCAUCUUUGAAUUCUGUCUACUAACCCACUGAAUCUAAUUUCUCUCAGGAUCUGUCGUGCUCACUGUGACAACCCGGUAUUUCAAAUCAAUGUAAUGACCUAAAAAGUCAAAAAUUGUAACCUCUGUUGAUAUAAUGAAAUUAUUGUCAAAAAUAAAAUGUUCAAAAGUCAUAUACGGGAUUUCAUAAAUGAUAGAUAUUGUGUCAAGGAUUUCAGAAAUAAAAAGAACACUAAAAUCUGAGUUAUAACGAGGAAGUUAUGAUUUUUCAAAGUUUCGGAUAUAGAAGUAGACAGCUAAAAACUCGAAAUACAGAUCGAGAAACUUUUGGCCGAAACAACCUAAGAGAGAA